UUGGAUUAAAAAUGAAAUUUCUAUGAAUUAAAAAAAAUAAAAGGAUUAAAUGAAAAUUCAGAAAAUAAAAAGAAAAUAGAAAACCCAAGGCCCAUCAGAUCUCCCUUAUUAAUUGAGGUGGUAGAUAUGAUGGCCACAUGCACGCUUUCCAUGGUAGUUUUCAGUCAAUGCAAUGUACGCAUGGUAUUCAAAAGCAAUGGCUCAGAUUAUAACAUCCAAACAUGAUCAGAUGGCCAGGAAGUGUGCCAACACACCACCGGAGCUAGGGCUCCAGUCAUC
rnacentral:lncRNA from 1 species